rnacentral:tRNA from 1 species
UCCCUAAUAGCUCAGUUGGUAAAGAAUCUGCUUGCAAUGCAGGAGACCCUGGUUUGACUCCUGGGUCGGGAA